UUCCACAUGUCCACGCAGCGAGAGUCCAAAUCCUAAUCCUCCUAUUCCCUUCCCCACCCCCACCCCGAAGCCACCAUCUGCUAGGGUUUCUCCUUUACCGCCGCCGCCACCUGCCCGAUCUAUAGCCACCGUAGUCCAUCCUCUUCUCCGUUCACUGGAUCGGGAUCUCCAUCGACGCUGAAACACUCUAUUCCAAGCUUCUCCUUCUACCAUUGAGCUCAAAAAAUACGCCACCGAGGGGCCUCUCCUACCACCGAGCCCUCGGCCUCCCCGAGCUGCCUCUCCCGCCAACGAGCGCAACUUCGUCGUCGACUCCCCAAGUUUCCUCUCCCGCGCGUGACUGCCGCCGCGAGAUGUCACGACACCACCACUGAAGCUAGCCCUCUACUGCUCUCCUUACCGGAGCACAUAUUCUCUACUGACGCAACACCGACGCUCUACUUCAGCCACUCUCCAUCAGAGGUAUGUGGCCUAUGAAUAUGCCAACACAGAUCUGUUGAACAAGAAGUCUGUUGUCUAGAAUUUUGGCAUGCUGCCACUGGAAAUAGUGGCUUGGAUGGAUCGUGUAGAUUGUUGUCAGCCAGUUAAUGAGGUGCAUCUGGUGGCAUGGCUCAAUAUGAUGGUGGGCGCGAGGAGAGUUAUGAGUGGUGAAGGAGUGUUUGGAAGUGUUUUGUUCUGCAGAACAUAUGUUAUCUCAGAAAGCUUUUAUAACAUACUAAUUGAUGGUUUCCUGUUGUUUUUGUGAGUUCACAAUAUCAAAGAGGCCGAGAAGAACAACACUUUCACGUGCGGCUUCGGAGCACCAUGACUGAUUGCUAGCUAAGGUUCCGCUCUUCUAAUAUGUCUCUCAUCGGAUGAACACCAUCUAGCUUUAUAUGCAUCCAGAUAGUCUCUGGCAACAUUGCGAUUUUGUUUUUGCAUUAUUUUUGGCAACUACCAGGAAAACGCCUACUGAUUAAUACUAUUGUGCGUGACACUAUUUAUCAACAACCUAAAUUGAAAUUGCAGGAAUCAUAUAAAAUCUACUCCCUCUGUCC